rnacentral:rRNA from 1 species
UCGCUCCUACUGAUUGAGUGAUCCGGUAAAUAAUUCUGACUGCAGCAUCACGCAGUUUCUGUAUAUUGCCGUACAAAGUUUGAUGAACCUUAUCACUUAGAGGAAGGAG